AACGAACGCUGGCGGCAGGCCUAACACAUGCAAGUCGAGCGAGGACUUCGGUUCUAGCGGCGGACGGGUGAGUAACGCGUGGGAAUGUGCCCUUCUCUACGGAAUAGCCCUGGGAAACUGGGAGUAAUACCGUAUACGCCCUAUUGGGGAAAGAUUUAUCGGAGAAGGAUCAGCCCGCGUUGGAUUAGGUAGUUGGUGGGGUAAUGGCCUACCAAGCCGACGAUCCAUAGCUGGUUUGAGAGGAUGAUCAGCGACACUGGGACUGAGACACGGCCCAGACUCCUACGGGAGGCAGCAGUGGGGAAUCUUAGACAAUGGGGGCAACCCUGAUCGAGCCAUGCCGCGUGAGUGAUGAAGGCCUUAGGGUUGUAAAGCUCUUUCAGCUGGGAAGAUAAUGACGGUACCAGCAGAAGAAGCCCCGGCUAACUCCGUG
rnacentral:rRNA from 1 species